CUGGGACAAUAGCAGUGCGGGUGGACAAAGUACUACCUGGUGCUAAAGGGGGGGAGCAGGAGCUAAGUCAGGUGCAGCCACAAACAAAUGAAAACUCUUCCGAAGGCCCAACUCAAAUCAAGACAGAUCCCAGACUCCUUACCUUGUAAGGAAUGAAAAUCACUCAGCAGAGGAAAGAAAAGGCUGCCUUGGAGUCAGACUUUCUUUAAUAAUUCCAGGGCUGGCUUUGAUGGAGCUGGGAAGAGGGAGGUCAUUGAUACUGCUGAUGACUGUGUGGGAGAAGGGCAUGCUUCAUGGAAUCCACACAGUGGGCUACCCAGAGGGUGACCUGUGUGGGGCAUGAGCAGAGCUGGGGUCAGUGCUCAAUGAGCCUUGGAAGAGCAUGGGGAAACAGCAUUCUGAUCCGAGGGCAACAGUGUUCUCUGAUGUCACAGAGAAAAGAGCCCACCCACCAGUAGAGACCCAACUAGUGAUCAGUCAUGCAUGGCAAGAUAUUCAGUGAGCUCCCCACCCCACCCUGAGUCCCUCCUUCCUCCAAGAAGAACAGUGCUCCAUGUGGAUAUCCCACCAGCCUUGGCCCAGGUUCCUCCCUAGUACCUCAGCCAAAGAUCCAGCCUGUGCUCCUGUAGUAAUGGGAGGACAGACACCUUUCCUUCUUGGUAAAGCAAGGGAACUCCAGAAAGGGGAAGCAGAGGAAGUGGCCUGCACAGCAGAACCUCCCCUUGCCUGUGGUAACCCUCACUCUGCAGGACUGCUUAUCCUUCACCACCAUUUGGAAGGCAAAGGAAAGAGGAGAAAGGUUGUGGGAGGAGCCACCAGUGAACUGGGAGGAGGAUUAUUCAGUCUCCUGGAGGAAAGGUAACUCAUCAGUUCACAGCUAGGGGGAUGUUUCCUAAUAAAGAUUGAUUUUUUUAAAAAAUCAUGCCUUUCUCUUUUAUCCACAGCACAAAAUCAGUGAAGGGAGUGGGGGAAAACAAACAUAAUAGCCCCUCCUUAUUUCCUCCUUUGCCCCCAACAUUUCCAAAGCCACAGAGCUCUAGAGAAAGACAGGAUCAAAGUCUCCCUCGUGUCUCAGUCCUCAGAAAUUGAGUCCUUCUUCAUCUGGAGCUGCCCACCAGUCGCUAUGGUAACACAACAUCUGCUACCCAAUUCUGCUCCAGUGGUCACUAGGCUUGGUGUCCUCCAAGCUAUUGGCAGCUUUGCAUUUUGCCUGACGUGCUACUCUGCUCCCUGGGGAACACAUCGCACCUUUUCAGCAAAGAAACCUUUAUUGAAAAGGCGGGUUACAGAGAGAAGAGAGGUUAAAUCUGUGCAACCUGCAAUUCUGAGAAAGCAAGCUCUCUUGCGUGUGAGGCCAUUAAUGCUGCCAAUCUUUGGAUUAAUGCUCUGCCUUUGUUGAUCACAAAUCCUACUGUAAAC
rnacentral:lncRNA from 1 species